rnacentral:lncRNA from 1 species
CUAGAAGCGUCAUUUGUUUCAUUUUCAUCUUAGGGGUUUUCAAGCCUUUCCCAGGAGACUUUGAUUUCCCAGAUGUUUUCUGCCCAUUUAAAACUCUUUUGCCUCUCUGCUUUUUGUCCAAGGAUUUGUUGCUGCCCUUUCCCAGUCGGCUCCUCUUUGGAAUGUGAAAGUUAGAAUCAAGUUUACCAGGCGACAUGAUUUUCAUCAUCUCUUCCAACUCCUCUUUGGGACAUUUUGAGAUCUUAGAGUUUUUCAUCUUCAGUGGGGAGCCAAUAAUAGAUUUCUCCAAAUGUACAUGACACCACAGGGUAGGGCUCAGUGGCUGACUCAAAGAUGAUCCAUCAGUUUUGGAUUUCUUGGAAGGUUUUCUGUCAGGUGAUCCAGAGCUCUUCCUCUUGGUUGAGGGGUUGAGAGUCAUAUACUUAUGUGGGUCAAGCAAGAAGUCACUAAAUUUACUGGGGAGAGAAUAUUUCUUCACCAACUCAUCCUCCACUACCCACGGGGCAUUCUCACCGAUGCCAGCCCGCAGCGCGUUGUGCCGGAUGAAGUACCUCAGGAUCUCCUUGUUGGGAGGACGCUCCGUACGGACCAAGCUAUCUGCUGGCACAUUGCUGAUGAUCUUGUCUUCGUUUUUCAGCUUGACGUCAUACUUGUGGGGCAGGAAUUUCGGUGGGACCCACUUCCUUUCUUCCUUUUUCAAAGAAGUAGGAAGCUUCCGAGGAGACCUACGUGCUCGAUCAUUCAUACUUUCCCUCCUGCUGUCUUCCUCCUUCAGGACAGACUCCUUCUGAUUGUCCUGGGCUGCCUGGCUGGAAUUCUCUUUAUCACUGGAUGGGGAAUCACAGGCUCCUUCAGACUUCUUUUCAGAGGCCUCUUCAUCGACUUUCUCCAGGGGAUGUAUUUUCACAACUUUCACAGGCAGCAUUUUCUCCUUACCAACCUCAAAAUCACACUCCUCUCCCACUGCAAAUUUGGUCAUGAUCUCCACCCAAGCUGCAUCCACCAACUUUUCCAAAGAUACUGUGUUGUGGUGAACUAUUUCCAGCACUGGUUUCUCAUACCAGAUGGGGAACUCCUCCUUCAAGAGUUCAGCGACUUCCUGCUCCUCCUCCCAGGCCUCUUUAUGUGUCAGCUGGCUGCUUCCUGUGCUCUUGCACGUCCAUAUUCUCUCACUGUAUCGCUCCAACCGUGCUUCAUACUCUUCGCGGGUGCGGAAAGCCUCCUGCGUGUGCGGGAUGAUGAAGCGCUCCCCCGGUUCCCCCGGCGGCAGCGGCUUGGCCAGCGGGAAGGGCUUGCGGCCCAGCAACGGCGCCAUGGCGGCGGCGGCCGCCGGAUCCGCGCGGUGACGCCGGGCCCGGGCGGGAGGAUUGAAAAAUGGCGGGAGAUUCCCCUCCCCCUGCCGGGCGGGCGGCGGGCCCGGCCUGCCCGCGCGCACCCC